rnacentral:rRNA from 1 species
AGAGUUUGAUUCUGGCUCAGGACGAACGCUGGCGGCGUGCUUAACACAUGCAAGUCGAGCGGGGAUGUACUGCGGAAGGUUUCGGCUGGAAGCGGUACAUUCUAGCGGCGGACGGGUGAGUAACGCGUGAGCAAUCUGUCCCAGACAGGGGGAUAACACUUGGAAACAGGUGCUAAUACCGCAUAAGACCACGGGGAGGCAUCUUCCUGAGGUAAAAGGAGCAAUCCGGUCUGGGGUGAGCUCGCGUCCCAUUAGCUAGUUGGUGAGGUAACGGCCCACCAAGGCGACGAUCAGUAGCCGGUCUGAGAGGGUGACCGGCCACAUUGGGACUGAGACACGGCCCAAACUCCUACGGGAGGCAGCAGUGGGGAAUAUUGCACAAUGGGGGAAACCCUGAUGCAGCGACGCCGCGUGAGCGAAGAAGUAUUUCGGUAUGUAAAGCUCUAUCAGCAGGGAAGAAAAUGACUGUACCUGACUAAGAAGCACCGGCUAAAUACGUGCCAGCAGCCGCGGUAAUACGUAUGGUGCAAGCGUUAUCCGGAUUUACUGGGUGUAAAGGGAGCGUAGACGGCUGUGUAAGUCUGAAGUGAAAGCCCGGGGCUCAACUCCGGGACUGCUUUGGAAACUAUGCAGCUAGAGUGUCGGAGAGGAAAGCGGAAUUCCCAGUGUAGCGGUGAAAUGCGUAGAUAUUGGGAGGAACACCAGUGGCGAAGGCGGCUUUCUGGACGAUGACUGACGUUGAGGCUCGAAAGCGUGGGGAGCAAACAGGAUUAGAUACCCUGGUAGUCCACGCCGUAAACGAUGACUACUAGGUGUCGGGUGGCAGAGCCAUUCGGUGCCGCAGUAAACACAAUAAGUAGUCCACCUGGGGAGUACGUUCGCAAGAUUGAAACUCAAAGGAAUUGACGGGGACCCGCACAAGCGGUGGAGCAUGUGGUUUAAUUCGAAGCAACGCGAAGAACCUUACCUAAACUUGACAUCCUGUUGACCGGAACUUAAUCGUUCUUUUCCUAGCUUGCUAGGACAACAGUGACAGGUGGUGCAUGGUUGUCGUCAGCUCGUGUCGUGAGAUGUUGGGUUAAGUGCCAUAACGAGCGCAACCCCCAUCGACAGUUGCUAACGGGUGAAGCCGAGGACUCCGUCGAGACUGCCGGCGCAAGCUGCGAGGAAGGCGGGGAUGACGUCAAAUCAGCACGGCCCUUACGUCCGGGGCGACACACGUGUUACAAUGGCGGGUACAGCGGGAAGCCACCUGGCGACAGGGAGCGGAACCCGAAAGCCCGUCUCAGUUCGGAUCGGAGUCUGCAACCCGACUCCGUGAAGCUGGAUUCGCUAGUAAUCGCGCAUCAGCCACGGCGCGGUGAAUACGUUCCCGGGCCUUGCACACACCGCCCGUCA